CUUGGGUCAUGUAGUGACUCUCAAUAGGUGAUGGGGGGUGGGGAAGACAGCUUCGAAAGCCCACCUGGCAAAAAAUCCACACUGGGGGCGAGAGAUAAACCGGCACAUUCCCCAGACUGACCCAUUAGGCUUCUUUCAUAACUUACUGGCAAUGAGCUGAGGAAGCUGUGAGUCUGGGAGUUAUUGAUUUUCUCUCAUCAUCAAAAUUCCUGCUUUUGGUGAGGGAACCAAUGCCAAGUAAGCACAGAACCUGUCUUCUCUCUGGACCAGAGCAGCUCAUGCCCCUUCAGAAAAACAGGCCCAGUGCAGUGGCAGAGUGAGAGCUCAGCGGCAGUGGGCAGAGAACUUCAGCUGCUCUGCUGGGGCAGCAAAUGCGUGGCUGGUGCUGCAGGGGAUUCGCCCACACUCCUAGAAGAUCCUAAGAGGCACAGCCCAGACCAGUCUAAGCCUCCAGGAUUGAACCCCUGGCUCCAGGAGGAAGAUGAAGGCACUCACUGAGCCCUUCUGAGUACAAGAGCCUUACUAGCCACUCUAGCUUCCAG
rnacentral:lncRNA from 1 species